rnacentral:sRNA from 1 species
AAAAAUGUGAUGAGCCACUUGUCUCUGGACUCCCCCAUGGGGCUUUCAGCAGCUCCUCUUCCAUCUCUGGUAGCUAUUCUCCCGGCUAUGCCAAGAUAAACAAGAGAGGAGGUGCUGGUGGAUGGUCUCCAUCAGACAGUGACCAUUAUCAAUGGCUUCAGGUUGACUUUGGCAAUCGGAAGCAGAUCAGUGCCAUUGCAACCCAAGGAAGAUAUAGCAGCUCAGAUUGGGUGACCCAAUACCGGAUGCUCUACAGCGACACAGGGAGAAAUUGGAAACCCUAUCAUCAAGAUGGGAAUAUCUGGGCGUUUCCUGGAAACAUCAACUCUGAUGGUGUGGUCCGGCACGAAUUACAGCAUCCGGUUAUCGCCCGCUAUGUGCGCGUAGUGCCUCUGGAUUGGAAUGGAGAAGGUCGCACUGGACUCAGAAUUGAAGUUUAUGGCUGUUCUUACUGGGCUGAUGUUAUCAACUUUGAUGGCCAUGUUGUAUUACCAUAUAGAUUCAGAAACAAGAAGAUGAAAACACUGAAAGAUGUCAUUGCCUUGAAAUUUAAGACGUCUGAAAGUGAAGGAGUAAUCUUGCACGGAGAAGGACAGCAAGGAGAUUACAUUACCUUGGAACUGAAAAAAGCCAAGCUGGUCCUCAGUUUAAACUUAGGAAGCAACCAGCUUGGCCCCAUAUAUGGCCACACAUCAGUGAUGACAGGAAGUUUGCUGGAUGACCACCACUGGCACUCUGUGAUCAUUGAGCGCCAGGGGCGGAGCAUUAACCUCACUCUGGACAGGAGCAUGCAGCACUUCCGCACCAAUGGAGAGUUUGACUAUCUGGACUUGGACUAUGAGAUAACCUUUGGAGGCAUCCCUUUCUCUGGCAAGCCCAGUUCCAGCAGUAGAAAGAAUUUCAAAGGCUGCAUGGAGAGCAUCAACUACAAUGGCAUCAACAUUACUGAUCUUGCCAGAAGGAAGAAAUUAGAGCCCUCAAAUGUGGGAAAUUUGAGCUUUUCUUGUGUGGAACCCUAUACGGUGCCUGUCUUUUUCAAUGCUACAAGUUACCUGGAGGUGCCCGGACGGCUUAACCAGGACCUGUUCUCAGUCAGUUUCCAGUUUAGGACAUGGAACCCCAAUGGUCUCCUGGUCUUCAGUCACUUUGCAGAUAAUUUGGGCAAUGUGGAGAUUGACCUCACUGAAAGCAAAGUGGGUGUUCACAUCAACAUCACACAGACCAAGAUGAGCCAAAUCGAUAUUUCCUCAGGUUCUGGGUUGAAUGAUGGACAGUGGCACGAGGUUCGCUUCCUAGCCAAGGAAAAUUUUGCUAUUCUCACCAUCGAUGGAGAUGAAGCAUCAGCAGUUCGAACUAAUAGUCCUCUUCAAGUUAAAACUGGCGAGAAGUACUUUUUUGGAGGUUUUCUGAACCAGAUGAAUAACUCAAGUCACUCUGUCCUUCAGCCUUCAUUCCAAGGAUGCAUGCAGCUCAUUCAAGUGGACGAUCAACUUGUAAAUUUAUACGAAGUGGCACAAAGGAAGCCGGGAAGUUUUGCGAAUGUCAGCAUUGACAUGUGUGCAAUCAUAGACAGAUGUGUGCCCAAUCACUGUGAGCAUGGUGGAAAGUGCUCGCAAACAUGGGACAGCUUCAAAUGCACUUGUGAUGAGACAGGAUACACUGGGGCCACCUGCCACAACUCUAUCUAUGAGCCUUCCUGUGAAGCCUACAAACACCUAGGCCAGACGUCAAAUUAUUACUGGAUAGAUCCUGAUGGCAGUGGACCUCUGGGGCCUCUGAAAGUUUACUGCAACAUGACAGAGGACAAAGUGUGGACCAUAGUGUCUCAUGACUUGCAGAUGCAGACGACUGUGGUCAGCUACAACCCAGAAAAACACUCAGUGAUACAGCUCGUUUACAGCGCCUCCAUGGACCAGAUAAGUGCCAUCACUGACAGUGCCGAGUACUGCGAGCAGUACAUCUCCUAUUUCUGCAAGAUGUCAAGGUUGUUGAACACCCCAGGCCUGCUAAUCUACAGAAUAGCUGAUGCAAGGAAAAGGAGUGGUUGAGACAGCAAGUUCCUUGUAUUAUUAUAUUUUGUAUAUGUC